rnacentral:rRNA from 1 species
AGAGUUUGAUCAUGGCUCAGAACGAACGCUGGCGGCAGGCCUAACACAUGCAAGUCGAGCGGCACCUUCGGGUGUAGCGGCGGACGGGUUAGUAACGCGUGGGAACGUACCCUUCUCUACGGAAUAGCCUCGGGAAACUGAGAGUAAUACCGUAUACGCCCUUCGGGGGAAAGAUUUAUCGGGGAAGGAUCGGCCCGCGUCUGAUUAGAUAGUUGGUGGGGUAAUGGCCUACCAAGUCUACGAUCAGUAGCUGGUUUUAGAGGAUGAUCAGCAACACUGGGACUGAGACACGGCCCAGACUCCUACGGGAGGCAGCAGUGGGGAAUCUUAGACAAUGGGCGCAAGCCUGAUCUAGCCAUGCCGCGUGAGUGAUGAAGGCCUUAGGGUCGUAAAGCUCUUUCGCCAGAGAUGAUAAUGACAGUAUCUGGUAAAGAAACCCCGGCUAACUCCGUGCCAGCAGCCGCGGUAAUACGGAGGGGGUUAGCGUUGUUCGGAAUUACUGGGCGUAAAGCGCACGUAGGCGGAUCAGAAAGUUGGGGGUGAAAUCCCAGGGCUCAACCCUGGAACGGCCUCCAAAACUCCUGGUCUUGAGUUCGAGAGAGGUGAGUGGAAUUCCGAGUGUAGAGGUG